GGGGGUGACUUGGCUUCGACGUGUACGGUGAAGUCGUUGCUGCGUGCCGAGGUCCCAGAACCUCGCUAAACCUUUGGGAACCUUUUGUAAUUGCGAACGAUAACUUCGCUUUGGCUGCGUAAUCGGCUUCUAGCUGAUUGAUGCGCCUGUCCGGUGAUCGGCCCGCCCGAGGCGGGUUGCCGGGCACCAUCUAAGUCGGGCUGGCUGUUCGACGGGGUCGCGACGUCGACGGUGAGAAUUUCGCGGCUGGUUCGUUCGAGGUGGUUCGCCGACCGACGAACGGGCGAGAUUGGAACAGCGAAAUACGCAUGUAGAGGCAGCGAGGGAUCUGUAGGCGGACAGGGGUUCGAAUCCCCUCACCUCCAUAA
rnacentral:tmRNA from 1 species